rnacentral:tmRNA from 1 species
GGGCCAGUAAAGGUUUCGACAGGGAUUAUGAAGCUGGAGAAGCGAGUCGCAUGGAAUGCGUUAAAUGCCAAACUUAAAAUUAAACGCUAACGAUAAUUUAGCUUACGCUGCCUAGUUGCAGCAGUCUGACCUAGAGCACCUACACUUUAGGACCCAGGCUUCGACUAUGUAGGAAACGACGCAUACUAAGCUUUGCGUAUGUGGGCGUAUCAUGAAGCUACUAAAGCAGGAAUCGUGUUUGUUCGAGUCCUGUAGAGGGAAUGUCAAAAAAUAAACUACACUCGUAGAAGGACAGGGGAUUGGUUUUUGGACACGGGUUCGAUUCCCGUCUGGUCCACUC